UACAGAGGGUGCAAGCGUUAAUCGGAAUUACUGGGCGUAAAGCGCACGUAGGUGGUUAUAUAAGUCAGAUGUGAAAUCCCCGGGCUUAACCUGGGAACUGCAUUUGAAACUGUAUGACUAGAGUAGGAUAGAGGAAAGGGGAAUUUCCGGUGUAGCGGUGAAAUGCGUAGAGAUCGGAAGGAACACCAGUGGCGAAGGCGCCUUUCUGGAUUCAUACUGACACUGAGGUGCGAAAGCGUGGGGAG
rnacentral:rRNA from 1 species